GAACCAUUAACUACAAACAACUUGACAUUUUUCAACAUAUUUUUAUCCACAGUCACUAAAAACUGUUGAUAAAAGUUUUAAUUUUCUACAUUUGCAUGCAACAGUGAUUUAAAAACAAGAAAAUUUGCACAUAUAUUUUCACUGUUGGUUAACGGUUGAAUUAAAGUUUUAAAAAUACAGAAGUUUCAGAUUUUUCUUCAUCAACGGCUUGAUCAAUGUGGAUAAAAUAAAUAAAACAUUUUUUUAUCAACGGUUUUGUAAAUAUUGAAAAUGAAGAACCAUAAGAUUAUAUAAAAGCUACAAAUCUCACAACUCACAAGCCAAAAGCGUUAUAUCUCGCUCUCGCUAUUGCUCCUCUCUCUCAGCAAACUCAGCUCUUCACAGGAUCUCUCUCUCUGUUGCUGAGAAAACCUUUCUAUUUCUCUAUUAUUUUCUUGGCAACCAAACAGAGUGCUUGACUUCUGUUGAUUUUGCUUUGUUUCAAAUUCACCAAGCAGGAUGGCACAUUGUCUUAGAGCAUCCGACAAAGAUGAUGUUUUUGAUGCCAAUAGAACCUUGAGAAGGUGUGAAGUUGGUGUUGAUCGUGAUGAAGGCAUGUAGCAAAUUAUGCAACACCCCUUGAGAAGGUGUGUUUUCUAUCUUUUAUUUUUUUUAGUAUUUCUUGUCAUUUUGUUCUCAAUGUAGGCUUUUUUCCUUUGAGAUUGGUGUUUUUUGAGCUUCCUUCUCCAGAUACUAGUGGGACUAUGGUUACGGUUGAGGAUCUAAAAUAAGAACUCUCCAAUACAUUUUAGUGUACAAGUAUUGGCUAUUGUAGAUACUUUUAAGUGUACUAUUCAAAAAAGGUUUUGUGUAGCAUGUAGCAAUUCCUGUUUCAAAUUAAAAAAAAAAAAUAUGUGUAGGGCAUUAAACAGAGUAGUUGAGUUAUGUUGAUUUGUACAGUUUUUUU